rnacentral:rRNA from 1 species
UACGAACCGUACAAACGUUAUUCGGAAUCACUGGGCUUAAAGGGUGCGUAGGCGGCCAUGUAAGUGAGGUGUGAAAUCCCUCGGCUCAACCGAGGAACUGCGCUUCAUACUGCAUGGCUUGAGGGAGACAGGGGUAAGCGGAACUGAUGGUGGAGCGGUGAAAUGCGUUGAUAUCAUCAGGAACACCGGUGGCGAAAGCGGCUUACUGGGUCUUACCUGACGCUGAGGAACGAAAGCCAGGGGAGCGAACGGG